UCCUCUUACGUCUUUGUUUCAGGUGAUUUAUGCAGGCCUGCUUCGACACAUGCUGAAGUUGCCAGCUUCACAGAGUUGCAACCUCUUGAUUCAUCGUACAGGCCGGUAUCCACAUAUCUGACUGGAGCUACAAGGUCACACGCAGAUCUACAAGUGCUCGCGUUCAUGGAAAGGGUCUUACAGAUACUUAAUGGUAUUAAGCAGACCAAGCAGGUCCAUUCACAAUACCUUAAUGAGCUGCUCAGCAAUGCCAGCAGUGCACCUUCACAACCUUGUGACCUCCCUGAUUUGCACUUUUCGGAUGCGACAGACGUGCUCGACUUUGACAAAAAGCUUGAGACAGACAGACAAGCUCUACAUCAGAUGGCACAUUGACUAAUGACCUCAGACACCCAGAUGCCACCCUAAAGGAUCUCGAGAGGGCUGCCAUGACUUGGUUCCGCCAUGCUGCCGAGCGAUUUGCUGCUCAACAGAUAUAUAUAUAUUUUUAAUUUCGCUGUCAAAUAUGAUCAUGCUGAAGUCAGCUUGUUGCAGAUUAUCUGCAUGGCCUGUAUGAACAUAUUUUUUCAUAGUGUUUCAUCCUUUUUUGUGUUGUUUUUAAUGUUACCGUUUGCCACAUUCAGAGCCAUCAUUUUCUUAAUGUGUUGUUUCCAGUGCCUAGCUGAAAUUUUUGUUUCCUGAAACUUAAUUUUUUUACUGGUGCACACAGCUUGCACUGCCUGCUUAACUCUCUUCUAGCAGUGUAGGAUUAAGAGUUAAGAGAGCACAACUAAGAUUAAUUAAAUGCAUCAUUGGCGUAACUGGGAACACUGUUGUACAAUGUUUAAAAAGUGCACAGCAAUGUACACAAAAGCACCUAAGCAAGUAAAUACAACUUUGAAUUCUGCUCUACUAGAUGAGAAUUAAGCAGGCUGUGCACACCAGUAAAGAAAUUAGGUUCAAGGAAAUCAAAAUUUAUCUUGGGCACAGGAAACACAGCAAAAUAUUAUUUUAAACUUUGUAUUAAUAUGUCCUGUGAGGAUAAUGUGACUUAAUUACAUAUGUGUUCAUCUUGUUUAUGGGAAGCGUGCAAUAAAAAUUAACAUUUCCAAAG
rnacentral:lncRNA from 1 species